UACGUAGGGGGCAAGCGUUGUCCGGAUUUAUUGGGCGUAAAGAGCGUGUAGGCGGCUAGAUAGGUCCGUUGUGAAAACUCGAGGCUCAACCUCGAGACGUCGAUGGAAACCAUCUGGCUAGAGUCCGGAAGAGGAGAGUGGAAUUCCUGGAUGUAGCGGUGAAAUGCGCAGAUAUCAGGAGGAACACCGGUGGCGAAGGCGGCACUCUGGGCCGGUACUGACGCUGAGGAGCGAAAGCGUGGGGAGCGAACAGG
rnacentral:rRNA from 1 species